AUUGAACGCUGGCGGCAGGCCUAACACAUGCAAGUCGAACGGUAACAGGAAGAAGCUUGCUUCUUUGCUGACGAGUGGCGGACGCGUGAGUAAUGUCUGGGAAACUGCCUGAUGGAGGGGGAUAACUACUGGAAACGGUAGCUAAUAUCGCAUAACGUCGCUAGACCAAAGAGGGGGACCUUCGGGCCCCUUGCCAUCGGAUGUGCCCAGAUGGGAUUAGCUAGUAGGUGGGGUAACGGCUCACCUAGGCGACGAUCCCUAGCUGGUCUGAGAGGAUGACCAGCCACACUGGAACUGAGACACGGUCCAGACUCCUACGGGAGGCAGCAGUGGGGAAUAUUGCACAAUGGGCGCAAGCCUGAUGCAGCCAUGCCGCGUGUAUGAAGAAGGCCUUCGGGUUGUAAAGUACUUUCGGCGGGGAAGAAGGGAGUAAGGUUAAUACCUUGGCUCAUUGACGUUACCCGAAGAAGAAGCACCGGCUAACUCCGUG
rnacentral:rRNA from 1 species